GCCAUCUAUCGGGGGUACACCUGUAAUCCCAGCUACUCGGGAGGCUGAGGCAGGAGGAUCGCUUGAGUCCAGGAGUUCUAGGCUGUAGUGUGCUGUGCCGUUCAAGUGUCUACACUGAGUUCGGCAUCAGUAUGGUGACCUUCGGGGGAGGGAGAACACCAGGUUGCCUAAGGAGGGGUGAACCGGCCCAGGUGGGAGACUGAGCAGGUCAACCUAAAACAGGCACAGUCCGGGGCUGAACCCUCCUGAGGCGGGCUUAACAAGGCCUGAGCAAAGAACUCUGGUUGCC
rnacentral:SRP_RNA from 1 species